rnacentral:rRNA from 1 species
CUACACAUGCAAGUCGAACGUAGUAGCAAUACUUAGUGGCAGACGGGUGAGUAACACGUAGGUAUCUACCCUUUGGCCUGGAAUAACACGAGGAAACUUGUGCUAAUACCGGAUAAGUCUUUACGGAGAAAGCUUUAUGCACCAUUGGAUGAGCCUGCACUUGAUUAGUUUGUUGGUGGGGUAAUGGCCUACCAAGACUGUGAUCAAUAGCUGAUUUGAGAGGAUGAUCAGCCACAUUGGGACUGAGACACGGCCCAAACUCCUACGGGAGGCAGCAGUGGGGAAUCUUGCACAAUGGAGGAAACUCUGAUGCAGCGAUGCCGCGUGAGUGAAGAAGGCCUUUGGGUUGUAAAGCUCUUUCGUCGGGGAAGAAAAUGACUGUACCCGAAUAAGAAGGUCCGGCUAACUUCGUGCCAGCAGCCGCGGUAAUACGAAGGGACCUAGCGUAGUUCGGAAUUACUGGGCUUAAAGAGUUCGUAGGUGGUUGAAAAAGUUAGUGGUGAAAUCCCAGAGCUUAACUCUGGAACUGCCAUUAAAACUUUUCAGCUAGAGUAUGAUAGAGGAAAGCAGAAUCUCUAGUGUAGAGGUGAAAUUC